AUUAGAAUGAUGCGAAAAUAAUAUAUUAUAAUAAGUUCUCCAAUACCAUGCAUGCGCUAGAGCAGAUAAGAGAGGUGCACGGGGACUAACUAAUCCUGAAUUAACAUAUGACAAUAACAAAGUUCCCUGUACAGCACUAAGAAGAGCGCAAUUGUGCAGAGGGUCUGGAUUCAAACCCAGCUUUAAUUGCUUCUUUCCCUCCCUUAAAGAUGCGCAAUUAUAUCUAGGAUACAAAUUUUCCUCCCUUUUCCUGGAAAAGGAAGACUCACACAUACGCAACUCUGAUCAUACAAAAACACUAGAUUGAAAUUCAAAGAAGCUCUCAGAAACCUCUUUCCAAAAGAGACUAUCUUCCAUCUCAACUGAUGAGGAAGAUGUAUAGCUCGAAAAGACAUCAUCCACACUUACAUUGUCUAUCUUUAAACGUUCAGGUUUAUAGUUAUCAGGAACUUGGGUGGCUUCUUCACUUCUAUCCCAAGCAUCUAGAACUUUGGAAUCCUUCCCUGUCAAUUGUUGAACGAUUGCACGAAACUCUAAAGCAUUGGUAGCUCUAAACAUUGUUGGGUUGGAAAUAUAUGUAAUCUUGACUGGUUUUUUCUUGUGCUUGAUGGGUUUUCGCCUCAUAGGCUGCUGGUGUUGAAAGUACCGCUCACUAUUCUUAUCCAUUUGCAUAGAUU
rnacentral:misc_RNA from 1 species